rnacentral:sRNA from 1 species
GUCCCGGUGGGAGGGACCUGGGCUGGGGGGGACGGCAGGGGAACAAGGGGGUGGGACUGGGGAAGCUUCUGGGAACAUUUGCUCUAGGGAUUCAGCUAAACUAAGAAAAAUUGGUCCAAGGCUCGGCACAAAAGGAUCUUUUCAUUCCAGUCCUUUCGCCCACGCAGGGAACGAUGCCUCUGGAGGUGGUGGUGGAGCUGCAGAUCCGGGCGAUUUCUUGCCCAGGAGUGUUCCUGCCUGGCAAACAAGAUGUGUACCUCGGGGUCUACCUCAUGAAUCAGUACCUGGAGACAAACAGCUUUCCCUCUGCGUUCCCCAUUAUGAUUCAGGAGAGCAUGAGAUUUGAAAAGGUAUUUGAAAGUGCAGUAGAUCCUGGAGCUGUAGUAGACCUUUUGGAAAUGUGGGAUGAGUUGGCCUACUAUGAAGAAAACACAAGAGAUUUUCUUUUUCCAGAGCCCAAGCUGACACCUUCACACCCUAGGAGGUGUAGGGAGGUGCUCAUGAAGACGGCUCUGGGUUUUCCAGGCAUUGCUCCCAAAAUAGAGUUUUCUACAAGGACAGCCAUCAGAGAAUGUGUGUUUCUGCAUAGAAACAGAUUUCUUGGCUGGGGAAACAAAGGGAAGAUGUUGGGUCAGCAAGAACACAUAAGCUUAAAGAAGAAACUGAACAGAAAUGGGACCCAGACCUCUGGAGAAGGGCUGCUUUCCUGGAUGCUUCUUCAGGAAUUCGAAGGAAGAAAGACAUAAGUCACAAAGGCCUUUAUCUACAUCACAUGAACCAAUAUUUCCCUUAAAUACUAUAAAGAAGAAACUAAAGGAGAAUAAUCUCAACAGACUGCCCAAAGGCAUGCAAGCCCGGGCGCCCUCUCCAUAUUCUACCAGGCAUUUCUUCCAGG